GGAGGGGUUCCCGAGUGGCCAAAGGGAACAGACUGUAAAUCUGUCGGCGAAGCCUUCGGAGGUUCGAAUCCUCCCCCCUCCACCA
rnacentral:tRNA from 5 species